CAAGGAUUCCCCUAGUAACGGCGAGUGAAGCGGGAAGAGCUCAAAUUUGAAAUCUGGCAGUCUUCGAUUGUCCGAGUUGUAAUCUAUAGAGGCGUUUUCCGUGCCGGACCGUGUCCAAGUCUCCUGGAAAGGAGUAUCAAAGAGGGUGAUAAUCCCGUACUUAACACGACCACCGGUGCUCUGUGAUACGUCUUCUACGAGUCGAGUUGUUUGGGAAUGCAGCUCAAAAUGGGUGGUGAAUUCCAUCUAAAGCUAAAUAUUGGCGAGAGACCGAUAGCGAACAAGUACCGUGAGGGAAAGAUGAAAAGCACUUUGGAAAGAGAGUUAAACAGUACGUGAAAUUGUUGAAAGGGAAACGAUUGAAGUCAGUCGUGUUCUUUGGAUUCAGCCAGUUCUGCUGGUCUACUUCCUUUGAACGGGUCAACAUCAGUUUUGUCCGGUGGAUAAAGGCAGUAGGAAUGUAGCUUCUCCGGAAGUGUUAUAGCCUAUUGUCACAUACACUGGGUGAGACUGAGGACUGCAGCUCGCCUUUAUGGCCGACCUUCGGGUACGUUCGAGCUUAGGAUGUUGACAUAAUGGCUUUAAACGACCCGUCUUGAAACACGGACCUCCUGU
rnacentral:rRNA from 1 species